rnacentral:rRNA from 1 species
GACGAACGCUGGCGGCGUGCUUAACACAUGCAAGUCGAACGGAAAGGCCCUGCUUUUGUGGGGUGAUCGAGUGGCGAACGGGUGAGUAACACGUGAGUAACCUGCCCUUGAUUUUGGGAUAACUUCAGGAAACUGGGGUUAAUAUCGGAUAGGAGCUCCUGCUGCAUGGUGGGGGUUGGAAAGUUUCGGCGGGUGGGGAUGGACUGGCGGCUUAUCAGCUUGUUGGUGGGGUAGUGGCUUACCAAGGCUUUGACGGGUAGCCGGCCUGAGAGGUUGACCGGCCACAUUGCGCCUGCGAUACGGCCCAGACUCCUACGGGAGGCAGCAGUGGGGAAUAUUGCACAAUGGGCGGAAGCCUGUUGCAGCAACGCCGCGUGCGUGAUGACGGCCUUCGGGUUGUAAACCGCUUUCGCCUGUGACGAAGCGUGAGUGACGGUAAUGAGUAAAGAAGCACCGGCUAACUACGUG